GACGAACGCUGGCGGCGUGCUUAACACAUGCAAGUCGAACGGAAAGGCCCUGCUUUUGUGGGGUGCUCGAGUGGCGAACGGGUGAGUAACACGUGAGUAACCUGCCCUUGACUUUGGGAUAACUUCAGGAAACUGGGGCUAAUACCGGAUAGGAGCUCCUGCUGCAUGGUGGGGGUUGGAAAGUUUCGGCGGUUGGGGAUGGACUCGCGGCCUAUCAGCUUGUUGGUGAGGUAGUGGCUUACCAAGGCUUUGACGGGUAGCCGGCCUGCGAGGGUGACCGGCCACAUUGGGACUGAGAUACGGCCCAGAACCCUACGGGAGGCAGCAGUGGGGAAUAUUGCACCAUGGGCGGAAGCCUGAUGCAGCAACGCCGCGUGCGGGAUGACGGCCUUCGGGUUGUAAACCGCUUUCGCCUGUGACGAAGCGUGAGUGACGGUAAUGGGUAAAGAAGCACCGGCUAACUACGUG
rnacentral:rRNA from 1 species